rnacentral:rRNA from 1 species
ACGUAGGUGACUAGCGUUGUUCGGAUUUAUUGGGCGUAAAGGGUCCGCAGGGGGCCAACUAAGUUCGAUGUGAAAUCCCGGAGCUUAACUUCGGAACUGCAUUGGAGACUGGUUGGCUAGAGCAUCGGAGAGGAGAAUGGAAUUCCAGGUGUAGCGGUGGAAUGCGUAGAUAUCUGGAAGAACACCAAAGGCGAAGGCAGUUCUCUGGACGAUUGCUGACCGGCAGUGACGAAAGCAUGGGGAGCAAACAG